AUCGAACGCUGGCGGCAUGCCUUACACAUGCAAGUCGAACGGUAACGCGGGGAAACCUGGCGACGAGUGGCGAACGGGUGAGUAAUGCAUCGGAACGUGCCCAGUAGUGGGGGAUAGCCUGGCGAAAGCCGGAUUAAUACCGCAUACGACCUGCGGGUGAAAGCGGGGGACCGCAAGGCACCGAGAUGUUGGAGCGGCCGAGGUCAGAUUAGGUUGUUGGUGAGGUAAAGGCUCACCAAGCCGACGAUCUGUAGCUGGUCUGAGAGGACGACCAGCCACACUGGGACUGAGACACGGCCCAGACUCCUACGGGAGGCAGCAGUGGGGAAUUUUGGACAAUGGGGGCAACCCUGAUCCAGCCAUGCCGCGUGCGGGAAGAAGGCCUUCGGGUUGUAAACCGCUUUUGUCGGGGAAGAAACGCUCUGGAUUAAUACCCUGGGGUAAUGACGGUACCCGAAGAAUAAGCACCGGCUAACUACAUGCCAGCAGCCGCCGUAAAAC
rnacentral:rRNA from 1 species